rnacentral:rRNA from 1 species
UUACCAUGCAAGUCGAACGAUGAACCACUUCGGUGGGGAUUAGUGGCGAACGGGUGAGUAACACGUGGGCAAUCUGCCCUGCACUCUGGGACAAGCCCUGGAAACGGGGUCUAAUACCGGAUACUGAUCCGCUUGGGCAUCCUGGAGGAUCGAAAGCUCCGGCGGUGCAGGAUGAGCCCGCGGCCUAUCAGCUAGUUGGUGAGGUAAUGGCUCACCAAGGCGACGACGGGUAGCCGGCCUGAGAGGGCGACCGGCCACACUGGGACUGAGACACGGCCCAGACUCCUACGGGAGGCAGCAGUGGGGAAUAUUGCACAAUGGGCGAAAGCCUGAUGCAGCGACGCCGCGUGAGGGAUGACGGCCUUCGGGUUGUAAACCUCUUUCAGCAGGGAAGAAGCGAAAGUGACGGUACCUGCAGAAGAAGCGCCGGCUAACUACGUGCCAGCAGCCGCGGUAAUACGUAGGGCGCGAGCGUUGUCCGGAAUUAUUGGGCGUAAAGAGCUCGUAGGCGGCUUGUCACGUCGGUUGUGAAAGCCCGGGGCUUAACCCCGGGUCUGCAGUCGAUACGGGCAGGCUAGAGUUCGGUAGGGGAGAUCGGAAUUCCUGGUGUAGCGGUGAAAUGCGCAGAUAUCAGGAGGAACACCGGUGGCGAAGGCGGAUCUCUGGGCCGAUACUGACGCUGAGGAGCGAAAGCGUGGAA